rnacentral:rRNA from 1 species
CGGUCCUUCCGAGUUCCCUGGAACGGGACGCCUUAGAGGGUGAAACCCCCGUACGGUUGGACACCAACCUUCGUAAAGCUUCUCGACGAGUCGAGUAGUUGGGAAUGCUGCUCUAAAUGGGAGGUAAAUUUCUUCUAAAGCUAAAUAUUGGCCAGAGCCCGAUAGCGCACAAGUAGAGUGAUCGAAAGAUGAAAAGCCCUUUGAAAAGAGGGUUAAAUAGCACGUGAAAUUGUUGAAAGGGAAGCGUUUGCGACCAGACCUUUUCCUGGCGGAUCAUCCGGUGUUCUCACCGGUGCACUUCGCCAGGUUGAGGCCAGCAUCGGUUUCCGCAGGGGGAUAAAAGCCUGGGGAAUGUAGCUCUUUCGGGAGUGUUAUAGCCCCUAGCAUAAUACCCUUGUGGGGACCGAGGACCGCGCUUCGGCAAGGAUGCUGGCGUAAUGGUCGUCAACGACCCGUCUUGAAACACGGACCAAGGAGUCGAACAUUUGUGCGAGUGUUUGGGUGUCAAACCCUCACGCGUAAUGAAAGUGAACGGAGGUGAGAGCCCUUACGGGUGCAUCAUCGACCGAUCCUGAUGUCUUCGGAUGGAUUUGAGUAAGAGCAUAACUGUUCGGACCCGAAAGAUGGUGAACUAUGCGUGGAUAGGGUGAAGCCAGAGGAAACUCUGGUGGAGGCUCGCAGCGGUUCUGACGUGCAAAUCGAUCGUCAAAUCUGCGCAUGGGGGCGAAAGACUUAUCGAACCAUCUAGUAGCUGGUUACCGCCGAAGUUUCCCUCAGGAUAGCAGUGUUGUUCUUCAGUUUUAUGAGGUAAAGCGAAUGAUUAGGGACUCGGGGGCUAUUUUUUGCCUUCAUCCAUUCUCAAACUUUAAAUAUGUAAGAAGCCCUUGUUACUUAAUUGAACGUGGGCAUUCGAAUGUACCAACACUAGUGGGCCAUUUUUGGUAAGCAGAACUGGCGAUGCGGGAUGAACCGAACGCGGGGUUAAGGUGCCGGAGUGGACGCUCAUCAGACACCACAAAAGGUGUUAGCACAUUUAGACAAUAGGACGGUGGCCAUGGAAGUCGGAAUCCGCUAAGGACUGUGUAACAACUCACCUAUCGAAUGUGCUAGCCCUGAAAAUGGAUGGCGCUCAAGCGUCCCACCCAUACCUCGCCCUCAGGGUAGAAACGAUGCCCUGAGGAGUAGGCGGCCGUGGGGGUCAGUGACGAAGCCUAGGGCGGAGCCCGUCAUCCCA